rnacentral:rRNA from 1 species
AGUGAACGCUGGCGGUAGGCCUAACACAUGCAAGUCGAACGGCCGCACAGUAAGAGCUUGCUCUUACGGGUGGCGAGUGGCGGACGGGUGAGGAAUACAUCGGAAUCUACUUUUUCGUGGGGGAUAACGUAGGGAAACUUACGCUAAUACCGCAUACGACCUACGGGUGAAAGCAGGGGAUCUUCGGACCUUGCGCGAUAGAAUGAGCCGAUGUCGGAUUAGCUAGUUGGCGGGGUAAAGGCCCACCAAGGCGACGAUCCGUAGCUGGUCUGAGAGGGUGAUCAGCCACACUGGAACUGAGACACGGUCCAGACUCCUACGGGAGGCAGCAGUGGGGAAUAUUGGACAAUGGGCGCAAGCCUGAUCCAGCCAUACCGCGUGGGUGAAGAAGGCCUUCGGGUUGUAAAGCCCUUUUGUUGGGAAAGAAAAGCAGCAGGUUAAUACCCCGCUGUUCUGACGGUACCCAAAGAAUAAGCACCGGCUAACUUCGUG